rnacentral:rRNA from 1 species
AUACGUAUGUCGCAAGCGUUAUCCGGAUUUAUUGGGCGUAAAGCGCGUCUAGGCGGCUUAGUAAGUCUGAUGUGAAAAUGCGGGGCUCAACCCCGUAUUGCGUUGGAAACUGCUAAACUAGAGUACUGGAGAGGUAGGCGGAACUACAAGUGUAGAGGUGAAAUUCGUAGAUAUUUGUAGGAAUGCCGAUGGGGAAGCCAGCCUACUGGACAGAUACUGACGCUAAAGCGCGAAAGGGUGGGUAGCAAACAGGAUUAGAUACCCUGGUAGUCCACGCCGUAAACGAUGAUUACUAGGUGUUGGGGGUCGAACCUCAGCGCCCAAGCUAACGCGAUAAGUAAUCCGCCUGGGGAGUACGUACGCAAGUAUGAAACUCAAAGGAAUUGACGGGG